UACGGAGGAGGCAAGCGUUAUCCGGAAUUAUUGGGCGUAAAGCGUCCGCAGGUGGCACUUCAAGUCUGUCGUCAAAGACUGGGGCUUAACCCUGGAAAGGCGGUGGAAACUGAAGCGCUAGAGUGCGGUAGGGGUAGAGGGAAUUCCCGGUGUAGCGGUGAAAUGCGUAGAAAUCGGGAAGAACAUCGGUGGCGAAAGCGCUCUACUGGACCGCAACUGACACUCAGGGACGAAAGCUAGGGGAGCGAAUGGG
rnacentral:rRNA from 1 species